rnacentral:rRNA from 1 species
AUGAUGUUCGCCCCAAAGUGUUGCAGGUCGCGGCGGCGUAGAGGACGACGCACUGGCCGCACAGGAGACAUUGGACUUCCCAGAAACUUCACCACUGCCUCCCAACUCCGGCCUAACAGCGCCGGCGACCGUGGAUUGCGACGGCCGCGUGUCUCAAAAUCACGUACUGGUGGCGUCAGGGAGAUUCAGCAGCUAGGCAGCUUCCUGGCCGGAGGGGCGCGUGCAAGAUCCAUGACCCAGCAGCCUCUAUCUUCUCUGCCGGAUGUGGCCACGCAGCUGCAGGUCGUGCCCUCCUCUUGCUGCAGGCCGAGCCUUCCUCUAGCUGCAGGUGCAUCACAGGUAGGCACGAUGGACAUCGGGUGGUGGCAGCAGUAG